AAGUCGUAACAAGGUUUCCGUAGGUGAACCUGCGGAAGGAUCAUUAUUGAAUUCAAAUGCUGACGCUGAGCUAUCUCGUUAAGAGCAUGUGCCCGCCGACGCAUAUAUUCAACCACCUGUGAACCUCUUGUAGAUCUGAGAAUACUUCUCAAGGAAACUUGGACGUAGGGUUUGUUGGCUUCAACAGAGGUCGACUGCUCUUGCUUCUCAGAUCUAUGUUUUUCAUAUACCCCUUAAUAUGUUAUAGAAUGUAUUGAAUGGCUUGUAUGAGCCUUUAACCUAAUACAACUUUCAACAACGGAUCUCUUGGCUCUC
rnacentral:misc_RNA from 1 species